rnacentral:rRNA from 1 species
GCGAACGCUGGCGGCAGGCCUAACACAUGCAAGUCGAGCGGCCGUAGCAAUACGGCAGCGGCAGACGGGAGAGUAACACGUGGGAACGCGCCCUUUGGUUCGGAAUAACUCAGGGAAAUUUGAGCUAAUACCGGAUAAGCCCUUACGGGGAAAGAUUUAUCGCCAAAGGAACGGCCCGCGUCCGAUUAGCUAGUUGGUGAGGUAACGGCUCACCAAGGCGACGAUCGGUAGCUGGUCUGAGAGGAUGACCAGCCUCACUGGGACUGAGACACGGCCCAGACUCCUACGGGAGGCAGCAGUGGGGAAUAUUGGACAAUGGGCGCAAGCCUGAUCCAGCCAUGCCGCGUGAGUGAUGAAGGCCGUAGGGUUGUAAAGCUCUUUUACCCGGGAUGAUAAUGACAGUACCGGGAGAAUAAGCCCCGGCUAACUCCGU